rnacentral:rRNA from 1 species
GACGAACGCUGGCGGCGUGCUUAACACAUGCAAGUCGAACGGAAAGGCCCUGCUUUUGUGGGGUGCUCGAGUGGCGAACGGGUGAGUAACACGUGAGUAACCUGCCCUUGACUUUGGGAUAACUUCAGGAAACUGGGGCUAAUACCGGAUAGGAGCUCCUGCUGCAUGGUGGGGGGUGGAAAGUUUCGGCGGUUGGGGAUGGACUCGCGGCUUAUCAGCUUGUUGGUGGGGUAGUGGCUUACCAAGGCUUUGACGGGUAGCCGGCCUGAGAGGGUGACCGGCCACAUUGGGACUGAGAUACGGCCCAGACUCCUACGGGAGGCAGCAGUGGGGAAUAUUGCACAAUGGGCGGAAGCCUGAUGCAGCAACGCCGCGUGCGGGAUGACGGCCUUCGGGUUGUAAACCGCUUUCGCCUGUGACGAAGCGUGAGUGACGGUAAUGGGUAAAGAAGCACCGGCUAGCUACGUG